rnacentral:rRNA from 1 species
CCUACGGGUGGCAGCAGUGGGGAAUAUUGGACAAUGGGGGCAACCCUGAUCCAGCCAUGCCGCGUGUGUGAAGAAGGCCCUCGGGUUGUAAAGCACUUUCAGUGAGGAAGAACGCCUGGUGGUUAAUACCCAUCAGGAAAGACAUCACUCACAGAAGAAGCACCGGCUAACUCCGUGCCAGCAGCCGCGGUAAUACGGAGGGUGCGAGCGUUAAUCGGAAUUACUGGGCGUAAAGCGCGCGUAGGUGGCUUGAUAAGCCGGUUGUGAAAGCCCCGGGCUCAACCUGGGAACGGCAUCCGGAACUGUCAAGCUAGAGUGCAGGAGAGGAAGGUAGAAUUCCCGGUGUAGCGGUGAAAUGCGUAGAGAUCGGGAGGAAUACCAGUGGCGAAGGCGGCCUUCUGGACUGACACUGACACUGAGGUGCGAAAGCGUGGGUAGCAAACAGGAUUAGAUACGAGUAGUC